rnacentral:rRNA from 1 species
UACGUAGGGCGCAAGCGUUGUCCGGAAUUAUUGGGCGUAAAGAGCUCGUAGGCGGUUUGUCGCGUCUGCUGUGAAAACCUAAGGCUCAACCUUGGGCUUGCAGUGGGUACGAGCAGACUAGAGUGCGGUAGGGGUGACUGGAAUUCCUGGUGUAGCGGUGGAAUGCGCAGAUAUCAGGAGGAACACCGAUGGCGAAGGCAGGUCACUGGGCCGCAACUGACGCUGAGGAGCGAAAGCAUGGGGAGCGAACAGG